rnacentral:rRNA from 1 species
GAUGAACGCUAGCUACAGGCUUAACACAUGCAAGUCGAGGGGCAGCAUGGACAUAGCUUGCUAUGUUUGAUGGCGACCGGCGCACGGGUGCGUAACACGUAUCCAAUCUGCCCGUUACUCGGGGAUAGCCUUCUGAAAGGAAGAUUAAUACCCGAUGGCAUGUAUUUCCGGCAUCGGAGAUACAUUAAAGAUUUGUCGGUAACGGAUGAGGAUGCGUACGAUUAGCUUGUUGGCGGGGUAACGGCCCACCAAGGCGACGAUCGUUAGGGGUUCUGAGAGGAAGGUCCCCCACACUGGAACUGAGACACGGUCCAGACUCCUACGGGAGGCAGCAGUGAGGAAUAUUGGUCAAUGGUCGGAAGACUGAACCAGCCAAGUAGCGUGAAGGAUGACUGCCCUACGGGUUGUAAACUUCUUUUGUUUGGGAAUAAAAGACGCUACGUGUAGCGUUCUGCAUGUACCUUACGAAUAAGCAUCGGCUAAUUCCGUGCCAGCAGCCGCGGUAAUAC